rnacentral:tRNA from 1 species
GAAUAUGAAGCGAUGUAUCGCAUUUAGUUUCGACCUAGCCUUAGGUAAUUUUA